GUUCAGAUUACUUCUGGGUUGGUGAGCACAUCCACGUGCCAGGAGGGUGGUACACCCCAACUCCACAGAGACAGAAGCUGCUGUGCUGGGGACCCUUCCGGACCUUGCCCUCUACCUCUUCACCUAGGCAUACCUCAAUCCCCAAGUGGACGUCCUAUGGUAGGGCGUUGGUCUUGGACCCCCCUAGUGCAGGCAGUGAUGUCUUACCUCCAGCAGAGGGCGUGUUCCCCAUUCUUAGGGAGUCCAAGCUCCGGAUCCAGGCUGCCUAAGAAAUAGGGCUUCGGCUUAGCCCACAGAGGGUCCAGUCUUUCAUUUAAAGAUUUAAACAUGUACUUAAGACCUUAGUUACCUUUCCACAUCCCUCUGGGGAGACUGCCCUUGUCUGAUCACUUUCUUUUGGAAACACUCUUUCCUGGAUGGACUCAGGUUCCUGCAGCCAAAACUAUAAACUUGACUUCGGUCACAUGAUGACUUUAACUAAUGAGCCAAGGGACCAUAGACGAAACAGGAAUACUGUCCUUACAAAACAAAUGAAAACACCAGCAAAGGUUUAUUUAUUUAUUUUUACAGUUCUCAAAGUGGCCUCAAAUUUCUAACUUUUCUUACAACAAAGAGAGAUUCUUUUUAAAAAAAAUCUUUGAACAUUUUCCAUCAUUCGAAUUUGUAGGUCCCUCCCACAAACACACACACACAUCUCAGGUGGAAAAAAAAGAGCAGUCUCUUGGGGCCGGCCCGGUGGCGCAGUGGUUAAGUUCGCACGUUCUGCUUUGGCAGCCCAGGGUUCACCUGUUUGGAUCCCGGGUGCGCCCAUGGCACCGCUCAGCAAGCCAUGCUGUGGUAGGCAUCCCACAUAUAAAGUAGAGGAAGAUGGACAUGGAUGUUAGCUUAGGGCCAAUCUUCCUCAACAAAAAGAGGAGGAUUGGUAGCAGAUGUUAGCUCACGGCUAAUCUUCCUCAAAAAAAAAAAAAAAAAAAAGAGCAGUAUCUGGUCAUGGUUGGGUUCU
rnacentral:lncRNA from 1 species